AGUGAACGCUGGCGGUAGGCCUAACACAUGCAAGUCGAACGGCAGCACAGUAAGAGCUUGCUCUUACGGGUGGCGAGUGGCGGACGGGUGAGGAAUACAUCGGAAUCUACUUUUUCGUGGGGGAUAACGUAGGGAAACUUACGCUAAUACCGCAUACGACCUACGGGUGAAAGCAGGGGAUCUUCGGACCUUGCGCGAUUGAAUGAGCCGAUGUCGGAUUAGCUAGUUGGCGGGGUAAAGGCCCACCAAGGCGACGAUCCGUAGCUGGUCUGAGUGGAUGAUAGGCCACACUGGAACUGAGACACGGUCCAGACUCCUACGGGAGGCAGCAGUGGGGAAUAUUGGACAAUGGGCGCAAGCCUGAUCCAGCCAUACCGCGUGGGUGAAGAAGGCCUUCGGGUUGUAAAGCCCUUUUGUUGGGAAAGAAAAGCAGCAGGUUAAUACCCCGCUGUUCUGACGGUACCCAAAGAAUAAGCACCGGCUAACUUCGUG
rnacentral:rRNA from 1 species